CAAGCCCACACCAAGUCACCUACCCUACUUCCUUUUAACAUUGGUUUUUCCCAAUCCAAAACUCCCAAAAAAAAUCCUCUUCAGACCAAAUUGUCGAGAUCUUGCAAAAAGGAGAAUAGGAAAAUGAAAAUGGUGAUGCACGCAACAUUAUUCUUUGGCAGCACGGAGAACUUGAGCCUAUAUCUACUAGAUUUGGUAAUAGUAUUUAUGAUGUCUCUAAUUGUAGAAUGUCUAUCACACACGAGAUUUAUAAGUUCACAGAGCAACAAUUGGAUUGCUGGGGUGAUUCAAGUGGGAUUGUACGGCAUUCGGAUUAGCCUAGCGUAUCUUGUGAUGUUGGCAGUCAUGAUGUCCAAUGCAACCUUUGUUGUAGCUGUUGCUGGUUACACCCUUGGAUUCCUAAUUUUUGGCAGUAGAGUUUUCGAUAAAUCAGAUAUCGAAACAUAUCAAAAACCUUCAGAUCUUCCUCCAUUAAAUUGCUAGUUGCAUUUGUGUAGCAAGAAUAUAUAAUUGGACUAGAGUCCCUUUUUUCUUCUUGUUUUAUUUUAUGACAGGUGUAUCAUUCAAGAUAUAUACAUAUAUUACCUGUAAUCCUUAAAGCCCAUUUGGCCCCAUUUUAUUUAAAAUUUUAAUGUUUGAAAUAAUAUUUUUUUGAAGAAUGCGUGAUUGAAAAAUAAUGAAAAGUUUUCUAUUUACGUGUAAUAUUAUUUUGUGUUGUGUGGUUGUAAAAAAGAGAGAUGAAAAAAAAAUGAAAGAGAAUGAGAGCCAAACGGGAAAUUUGAUUCAAGAAGGAAGAAUUUUGAAGAUGAUUUAUUGUGGAGUCAUUUGCUAGUUUAUGCUCUAUAUCAAUAACUUUU
rnacentral:lncRNA from 1 species